rnacentral:rRNA from 1 species
AACGAACGCUGGCGGCAGGCUUAACACAUGCAAGUCGAACGGGUGUAGCAAUACAUCAGUGGCAGACGGGUGAGUAACACGUGGGAACCUUCCUAGAGGUACGGAACAACGCAGGGAAACUUGCGCUAAUACCGUAUACGCUCUUGCGAGGAAAGAUUUAUCGCCUUUAGACGGGCCCGCGUCGGAUUAGCUAGUUGGUAAGGUAACGGCUUACCAAGGCGACGAUGGUUAGCUGGUCUGAGAGGAUGGCCAGCCACACUGGAACUGAGACACGGUCCAGACUCCUACGGGAGGCAGCAGUGAGGAAUCUUGCGCAAUGGGGGAAACCCUGACGCAGCAACGCCGCGUGAGUGAGGAAGGCCUUCGGGUCGUAAAGCUCUGUCAGAUGGGAAGAAAUGGAUGGGGGCUAAUAUCGUCCAUCCUUGACGGUACCAUCAGAGGAAGCACCGGCUAACUCCGUG